AUUGAACGCUGGCGGCAGGCCUAACACAUGCAAGUCGAGCGGAUGAAGGGAGCUUGCUCCUGGAUUCAGCGGCGGACGGGUGAGUAAUGCCUAGGAAUCUGCCUGGUAGUGGGGGAUAACGUCCGGAAACGGGCGCUAAUACCGCAUACGUCCAGAGGGAGAAAGUGGGGGAUCUUCGGACCUCACGCUAUCAGAUGAGCCUAGGUCGGAUUAGCUAGUUGGUGGGGUAAAGGCCUACCAAGGCGACGAUCCGUAACUGGUCUGAGAGGAUGAUCAGUCACACUGGAACUGAGACACGGUCCAGACUCCUACGGGAGGCAGCAGUGGGGAAUAUUGGACAAUGGGCGAAAGCCUGAUCCAGCCAUGCCGCGUGUGUGAAGAAGGUCUUCGGAUUGUAAAGCACUUUAAGUUGGGAGGAAGGGCAGUAAGUUAAUCCCUUGCUGUUUUGACGUUACCAACAGAAUAAGCACCGGCUAACUUCGUG
rnacentral:rRNA from 1 species